UGGACCAAGUAUGAUCGUUCCAAGAAUAGUCCUGAGUGAUGAAAACAUGUCUGAAACUCUGAGGUCCAA
ensembl:snoRNA